UACGUAGGGCGCAAGCGUUAUCCGGAAUUAUUGGGCGUAAAGAGCUCGUAGGCGGUUUGUCGCGUCUGCCGUGAAAGUCCGGGGCUCAACUCCGGAUCUGCGGUGGGUACGGGCAGACUAGAGUGAUGUAGGGGAGACUGGAAUUCCUGGUGUAGCGGUGAAAUGCGCAGAUAUCAGGAGGAACACCGAUGGCGAAGGGCAGGUCUCUGGGCAUUAACUGACGCUGAGGAGCGAAAGCAUGGGGAGCGAACAGG
rnacentral:rRNA from 1 species